rfam:Cryptococcus depauperatus CBS 7841 supercont1.24, whole genome shotgun sequence.
GUCCCUAUCGUCUAGUGGUUAUGACGUCACAUUGUGGAGCAUUGUUCUGUGGAGGCGCUUGUUCGAUUCAGGCUAGGGACA